rnacentral:lncRNA from 1 species
GUUGCUGGGUCUUCCAGGAUCGCGCAUUAGCGGACGCUGGCUACGGGUGGCCGGGCGGGAUGUAACCGGCUGCUGAGCUGGCAGUUCUGUGUCCCCAGGCUUCGGCCCGGCCGCCGCCGCACAUAAACUGCGAGGAGGAGCUUUACGACUUCUCGGUCUUCGGGGCCGGGCGCAGCAAGGGCCAGACUCUGCGCUAGCAGGCGCUGCGCGCCAACCGGCCGGCCCCUGUCGCAGAAGGUGCAACCGAUCGCACUGUCGCGCAGAAGCUCCUCAAUGGCCAGCGCCAGCUGCAGCCCCGGCUGCCCACUCGCCUCACCUGAGCCUGGGUGAAUCUGGACUGGGAAAGUUGACAUUAAUCAACUCAUUAUUCCUCACAGAUUUGUAUUCUCCAGAGUAUCCAGGUCCUUCUCAGAGAAUUAAAAAGACUGUACAGGUGGAACAAUCCAAAGUUUUAAUCAAAGAAGGUGGUAUUCAGUUGCUGCUUACAAUAGUUGAUACCCCAGGAUUUGGAGAUGCAGUGGAUAAUAGUAAUUGCUGGCAGCCUGUUAUCAAUUACAUUGAUAGUAAAUUUGAGGACUACCUAAAUGCAGAAUCGCAAGUG